AUCCAGAUGACGAGUCCUAAAUAGGACGAAACGCGCAUCCUAGCUGGAU
rfam:Trichobilharzia regenti genome assembly, scaffold: TRE_scaffold0066789